rnacentral:rRNA from 1 species
AGAGUUUGAUUAUGGCUCAGGAUGAACGCUAGCUACAGGCUUAACACAUGCAAGUCGAGGGGCAGCGGGAUUGAAGCUUGCUUCAAUUGCCGGCGACCGGCGCACGGGUGAGUAACGCGUAUCCAACCUUCCGUACACUCAGGGAUAGCCUUUCGAAAGAAAGAUUAAUACCUGAUGGUAUGAUGAGAUCGCAUGGUAUCAUCAUUAAAGAUUUAUCGGUGUACGAUGGGGAUGCGUUCCAUUAGGUAGUAGGCGGGGUAACGGCCCACCUAGCCAACGAUGGAUAGGGGUUCUGAGAGGAAGGUCCCCCACAUUGGAACUGAGACACGGUCCAA